rnacentral:rRNA from 1 species
CCCGCACAAGCGGUGGAGCAUGUGGUUUAAUUCGAUGCAACGCGAAGAACCUUACCUGGUCUUGACAUCCACAGAACUUAGCAGAGAUGCUUUGGUGCCUUCGGGAACUGUGAGACAGGUGCUGCAUGGCUGUCGUCAGCUCGUGUUGUGAAAUGUUGGGUUAAGUCCCGCAACGAGCGCAACCCUUAUCCUUUGUUGCCAGCGGUUCGGCCGGGAACUCAAAGGAGACUGCCAGUGAUAAACUGGAGGAAGGUGGGGAUGACGUCAAGUCAUCAUGGCCCUUACGACCAGGGCUACACACGUGCUACAAUGGCAUAUACAAAGAGAAGCGACCUCG